UACAGAGGGUGCGAGCGUUGUUCGGAAUUACUGGGCGUAAAGCGCGCGUAGGCGGCUUUGUAAGUUAGAGGUGAAAGCCCGGGGCUCAACUCCGGAGUUGCCUUUAAGACUGCAUCGCUUGAAUCAUGGAGAGGUGAGUGGAAUUCCGAGUGUAGAGGUGAAAUUCGUAGAUAUUCGGAAGAACACCAGUGGCGAAGGCGACUCACUGGACAUGUAUUGACGCUGAGGUACGAAAGCGUGGGGAGCAAACAGG
rnacentral:rRNA from 1 species